GCGCCUGUAGCUCAGCUGGAUAGAGCGGCUCCCUUCUAAGGAGCAGGUCGCGGGUCCGAAUCCUGCCAGGCGCG
rnacentral:tRNA from 2 species